CUUGAUUACCUUGAACUUCAACUAUGUAGUACACAAUCUAGUCUUGUGCCAUGGACUUUGGAGCAAGACCAUCUGGCUUCGAAUCUCUAGUCUGCUACUUACAAGCUGUGUGACCUUGGGGAACCUGAGUUUGUAGUCUCCACAGGAAGAUGUACCAGACCUCACACAGGCAAACGCAGGCUCAGAGAAGGGGAGUGACUUUCUGGGAAUCACACAGCGCACUGGAUGCCUUGAGUAUGUUUGAAGGACACAAGAGAUAAUUUUAAAGGAAUUUUUUUUGUUUUGUUUUGCAGGAAGGAGACAAGAGAGUCAAAAUCAAAGAAAGAAAUGUGACAACAGAACCAGAAGUUGGAGUGAUGUGGGACCAUGAACCCAGAAGUGUGGGCAGCCUCUAGAAGCUGGAAAAGGCAAGGAAUGGAUUCUCCUGGAUCCUCAAGGAACAGCACCUCCAGAAGGAAUGCAGCCCUGUGGACACCUUGAUUUUAGCCCCAUUUGGACCACUUUUUGGACUUCUGACUUCCAGAACUGUCAGAUGAUAAAUUUGUGUUGUUUUCAGCCAGUGUUUAUGGUAAUUUGUCGCAGCAGCAGUAGAAAACUAAAACAGAAGAUCUUCAAGAUAUAUUACUGUGUCACAGUGCCCUGCUGAGCCAUAUCGGGAUCUGAGGCAAAAGGAAAACUGUGUGCUUCUUGGUAUGUUUUAUGUGAUUUUUAGUAGUUAAUUCCUCCCCCCCAAAGCAUAUGUUGAGAAUAUUAUCGAUAUGUUUGCUUCCAUUAAACACAGAAAAGUAAAAUUAUAAAAAAGAGAAAAGUAAAAUUAUAAGUUCUUAAUGUUGUGAGUUCUAAUAUACCUUUUUUGGUUUUUUUCUUUCUUUUUUUUUUU